CUUAGGGUUGAAUGAGAAUUUGACAGAACUCUUGACAGUUUCAUCCCAGUUCCAACAUAUCCAAAGUUAUGAAAUACUGCAGGGAAAUGCUGGCAUUGACUCAACCAAAUAGUGUGGAAAUGCAGCAGUACUUGAUCAUCAGAUUUAUUCCCAGUCUAAAGCUGCAUACCUACUGUAUAUUCUAUGCAUUUAUCUGGCAGCUACUCUUAUGGUAAGCAAUGCAAGAACUUGAACAGGCAAAAUUGCAGCACAGUGAUCAAAUGUUCUGCUUUCCCCAACAUGAUUCAACUCCCACAAUUCCCAUAAUUAUCUACCAGCACAUUGCACAUUUGGAGGAUAACAGAUUGAAAAAGAUAA